ACGUUUAUGCGUUGUUGGGUAGGGGAGCGUUCUGUAAGCCUGCGAAGGUGGCCUGUGAGGGUUGCUGGAGGUAUCAGAAGUGCGAAUGCUGACAUAAGUAACGAUAAAGCGGGUGAAAAGCCCGCUCGCCGGAAGACCAAGGGUUCCUGUCCAACGUUAAUCGGGGCAGGGUGAGUCGACCCCUAAGGCGAGGCCGAAAGGCGUAGUCGAUGGGAAACGGGUUAAUAUUCCCGUACUUGGUGUUACUGCGAAGGGGGGACGGAGAAGGCUAUGUUGGCCGGGCGACGGUUGUCCCGGUUUAAGCGUGUAGGUGUGUGUUCCAGGUAAAUCCGGUUCACUUUAACACUGAGGCGUGAUGACGAGGCACUACGGUGCUGAAGCAACAAAUGCCCUGCUUCCAGGAAAAGCCUCUAAGCAUCAGGUAACACGAAAUCGUACCCCAAACCGACACAGGUGGUCAGGUAGAGAAUACCAAGGCGCUUGAGAGAACUCGGGUGAAGGAACUAGGCAAAAUGGUGCCGUAACUUCGGGAGAAGGCACGCUGACACGUAGGUGAAGUGAUUUACUCAUGGAGCUGAAGUCAGUCGAAGAUACCAGCUGGCUGCAACUGUUUAUUAAAAACACAGCACUGUGCAAACACGAAAGUGGACGUAUACGGUGUGACGCCUGCCCGGUGCCGGAAGGUUAAUUGAUGGGGUCAGCGCAAGCGAAGCUCCUGAUCGAAGCCCCGGUAAACGGCGGCCGUAACUAUAACGGUCCUAAGGUAGCGAAAUUCCUUGUCGGGUAAGUUCCGACCUGCACGAAUGGCGUAAUGAUGGCCAGGCUGUCUCCACCCGAGACUCAGUGAAAUUGAACUCGCUGUGAAGAUGCAGUGUACCCGCGGCAAGACGGAAAGACCCCGUGAACCUUUACUAUAGCUUGACACUGAACAUUGAGCCUUGAUGUGUAGGAUAGGUGGGAGGCUUUGAAGUGUGGACGCCAGUCUGCAUGGAGCCGACCUUGAAAUACCACCCUUUAAUGUUUGAUGUUCUAACGUGGACCCGUUACCCGGGUUGCGGACAGUGUCUGGUGGGUAGUUUGACUGGGGCGGUCUCCUCCUAAAGAGUAACGGAGGAGCACGAAGGUUGGCUAAUCCUGGUCGGACAUCAGGAGGUUAGUGCAAUGGCAUAAGCCAGCUUGACUGCGAGCGUGACGGCGCGAGCAGGUGCGAAAGCAGGUCAUAGUGAUCCGGUGGUUCUGAAUGGAAGGGCCAUCGCUCAACGGAUAAAAGGUACUCCGGGGAUAACAGGCUGAUACCGCCCAAGAGUUCAUAUCGACGGCGGUGUUUGGCACCUCGAUGUCGGCUCAUCACAUCCUGGGGCUGAAGUAGGUCCCAAGGGUAUGGCUGUUCGCCAUUUAAAGUGGUACGCGAGCUGGGUUUAGAACGUCGUGAGACAGUUCGGUCCCUAUCUGCCGUGGGCGCUGGAGAACUGAGGGGGGCUGCUCCUAGUACGAGAGGACCGGAGUGGACGCAUCACUGGUGUUCGGGUUGUCAUGCCAAUGGCACUGCCCGGUAGCUAAAUGCGGAAGAGAUAAGUGCUGAAAGCAUCUAAGCACGAAACUUGCCCCGAGAUGAGUUCUCCCUGAGACUUAGAGUCUCCUGAAGGAACGUUGAAGACGACGACGUUGAUAGGCCGGGUGUGUAAGCGCAGCGAUGCGUUGAGCUAACCGGUACUAAUGAACCGUGAGGCUUAACCUUACAACGCCGAAG
rnacentral:rRNA from 1 species